rnacentral:rRNA from 1 species
GAUACCCUAUUAUACUAAUAAAUAUUAUGAAGCCUAAAUUAUUAAUAGAUAUAAUCUUUAAAUUUGAAGAAUUUGGCGGUGAUUUAGUCUUGUUAGAGGAACCUGUUUUUGAAUCGAUACACCACGUUAAAUUUUACUUACUUUACUUAGUUUAUAUACCGUCAUUAUCGGAUAAUCUUAAAAGAGUUAAUUGUUAAAAGUUAAGAAUUAAAUUAAAUUAGAUCAAGGUGUAGCUUAUAAGUAAGUUAAAAUGGGUUACAAUAAAAUUUAUUUACUACGGAGUAGUACUGUGAAAAAUUCGGAUUAUAAAGGAGGAUUUAAUUGUAAAUUAAGUUAAAAAGC